GAUAAGAUGGCUGGAUAGAGAUAGCAUGGGAGUAUUCUAGAGGAGGAAGGGCAGGGCUGGUGGGAGAUCGGUGAUGCUGUGAGAGGAAACCAAUGCCAUUUGUGAGCUUAGGGAAGGAAGUAGAAGGAUUGUAAGGGUCUUGACCCCAUUGCUUUCUCCCCGUGGAAGAGAAUUCCCCUUCCUUACUGGUGCAACAUCCUCCUUCCUGCUCAGUCCCUGAACUUUAGGAAGUGCCUCUACAGUGGAGUGGUCUUGGCAGGGAGAAUUUUUGAGGGUCUCAUCUGAUACAUGCAAAGCAAGACUGUGGCAUGCCCUAAAGAAGAAACAAAAGAUGGUUGCCUGCACCUGGAUCACCCAUUGCCUGGCUUACAACAGACAGGGCUCUUUUCUUCUGGGGGAUGCUUGGGGCCAUCUGGGACUUCAUCCAUCUCCUUCAUUUUUUAUUGUAGAAGAUUGAGGAAUACUUCUCUCCAGGGAGCAAAAUCAGUGCCCUUGUAUUAAAGAACUGAGAAUCCUUCUGCUGAUAUUUUGGUUUGACUUCUGCUCCAGGCUCUCAAACUUCUGCUCAGGUCUCUUGCUUUACUCCACGAUUACUUUAUUUCUGGAGCAGCAAUAGGAGGAUGACUAAUUUCAUAGGUAAUCUAGAAAUGAUUUCUCUUUUGCAAGAAGACCAGUUGCAAGCAGGAAAGACUCGAUCACUUGGGAAACGUAUGCCCCUUAGUAUAUAUCCAAACGUUCCUGGGCCAUCAUGGUGUUGGACUUGAAGGGGACAGUUUGGUGCACCCAACCUCAAACUGAGUACCAAAGCCACAUCCCACAGCUCAGUCAUUUCCCCUGGACUUCUGGCUGCUGUUCUUCACAGGGUCUUGAGACUGAAUUUACACCCUGCCAUGCCUCACUGAUCCUCUGCAUUUUGGCACUCCUGAAACAUGGCUUUUGAAGAUGAAGCAAGCUGCUCCACUGCCAACGGCAGCUUCCCUUAUUGCCUGAGGAGCAGCAGCACCAACAAACCUCCGCUGAUUUUAGACCAGCACCUACCCAAGGUCCUGCAUAUGUUACUUUGCCACUCACGAAGCUGCGGUGGUUCCAGCAUAGCAGGGGAGGUUGAAGACAGGUGACAUGAUAGCCCGUGAACCAAAGCCAGAUUCUGCUGUGCGUGGCAUCUGCUGACACACUUAACUGGCAGCAAAGCCGCAUCCCAACUCAUUUAUAUCUGAUUUCUUGGCAAGGUGGAAAAGGUAAACGUUGCUUCUUUACAGU